rnacentral:rRNA from 1 species
GGGUUGUGAGGUUAAGCGACUAAGCGUACACGGUGGAUGCCCUGGCAGUCAGAGGCGAUGAAGGACGUGCUAAUCUGCGAUAAGCGUCGGUAAGGUGAUAUGAACCGUUAUAACCGGCGAUUUCCGAAUGGGGAAACCCAGUGUGAUUCGUCACACUAUCAUUAACUGAAUCCAUAGGUUAAUGAGGCGAACCGGGGGAACUGAAACAUCUAAGUACCCCGAGGAAAAGAAAUCAACCGAGAUUCCCCCAGUAGCGGCGAGCGAACGGGGAGCAGCCCAGAGCCUGAAUCAGUGUGUGUGUUAGUGGAAGCGUCUGGAAAGGCGUGCGAUACAGGGUGACAGCCCCGUACACAAAAAUGCACAUGCUGUGAGCUCGAUGAGUAGGGCGGGACACGUGGUAUCCUGUCUGAAUAUGGGGGACCAUCCUCCAAGGCUAAAUACUCCUGACUGACCGAUAGUGAACCAGUACCGUGAGGGAAAGGCGAAAAGAACCCCGGCGAGGGGAGUGAAAAAGAACCUGAAACCGUGUACGUACAAGCAGUGGGAGCACAGAGCAAUCUGUGUGACUGCGUACCUUUUGUAUAAUGGGUCAGCGACUUAUAUUCUGUAGCAAGGUUAACCGAAUAGGGGAGCCGAAGGGAAACCGAGUCUUAACUGGGCGUUAAGUUGCAGGGUAUAGACCCGAAACCCGGUGAUCUAGCCAUGGGCAGGUUGAAGGUUGGGUAACACUAACUGGAGGACCGAACCGACUAAUGUUGAAAAAAAAUUAGCGGAUGACUUGUGGCUGGGGGUGAAAGGCCAAUCAAAACCGGGAGAUAGCUGGUUCUCCCCGAAAGCUAUUUAGGUAGCGCCUCGUGAAUUCAUCUCCGGGGGUAGAGCACUGUUUCGGCAAGGGGGUCAUCCCGACUUACCAACCCGAUGCAAACUGCGAAUACCGGAGAAUGUUAUCACGGGAGACACACGGCGGGUGCUAACGUCCGUCGUGAAGAGGGAAACAACCCAGACCGCCAGCUAAGGUCCCAAAGUCAUGGUUAAGUGGGAAACGAUGUGGGAAGGCCCAGACAGCCAGGAUGUUGGCUUAGAAGCAGCCAUCAUUUAAAGAAAGCGUAAUAGCUCACUGGUCGAGUCGGCCUGCGCGGAAGAUGUAACGGGGCUAAACCAUGCACCGAAGCUGCGGCAGCGACGCUUAUGCGUUGUUGGGUAGGGGGAGCGUUCUGUAAGCCUGCGAAGGUGUGCUGUGAGGCAUGCUGGAGGUAUCAGAAGUGCGAAUGCUGACAUAAGUAACGAUAAAGCGGGUGAAAAGCCCGCUCGCCGGAAGACCAAGGGUUCCUGUCCAACGUUAAUCGGGGCAGGGUGAGUCGACCCCUAAGGCGAGGCCGAAAGGCGUAGUCGAUGGGAAACAGGUUAAUAUUCCUGUACUUGGUGUUACUGCGAAGGGGGGACGGAGAAGGCUAUGUUGGCCGGGCGACGGUUGUCCCGGUUUAAGCGUGUAGGCUGGUUUUUCCGGGCAAAUCCGGAAAAAUCAAGGCUGAGGCGUGAUGACGAGGCACUACGGUGCUGAAGCAACAAAUGCCCUGCUUCCGGGGAAAAAGCCUCUAAGCAUCAGGUAACAUCAAAUCGUACCCCAAACCGACACAGGUGGUCAGGUAGAGAAUACCAAGGCGCUUGAGAGAACUCGGGUGAAGGAACUAGGCAAAAAUGGUGCCGUAACUUCGGGAGAAGGCACGCUGAUAUGUAGGUGAAGUCCCUCGCGGAUGGAGCUGAAAUCAGUCGAAGAUACCAGCUGGCUGCAACUGUUUAUUAAAAAAACACAGCACUGUGCAAACACGAAAGUGGACGUAUACGGUGUGACGCCUGCCCGGUGCCGGAAGGUUAAUUGAUGGGGUUAGCGCAAGCGAAGCUCUUUGAUCGAAGCCCCGGUAAACGGCGGCCGUAACUAUAACGGUCCUAAGGUAGCGAAAUUCCUUGUCGGGUAAGUUCCGACCUGCACGAAUGGCGUAAUGAUGGCCGAGCUGUCUCCACCCGAGACUCAGUGAAAUUGAACUCGCUGUGAAGAUGCAGUGUACCCGCGGCAAGACGGAAAGACCCCGUGAACCUUUACUAUAGCUUGACACUGAACAUUGAGCCUUGAUGUGUAGGAUAGGUGGGAGGCUUUGAAGUGUGGACGCCAGUCUGCAUGGAGCCGACCUUGAAAUACCACCCUUUAAUGUUUGAUGUUCUAACGUUGACCCGUAAUCCGGGUUGCGGACAGUGUCUGGUGGGUAGUUUGACUGGGGCGGUCUCCUCCUAAAGAGUAACGGAGGAGCACGAAGGUUGGCUAAUCCUGGUCGGACAUCAGGAGGUUAGUGCAAUGGCAUAAGCCAGCUUGACUGCGAGCGUGACGGCGCGAGCAGGUGCGAAAGCAGGUCAUAGUGAUCCGGUGGUUCUGAAUGGAAGGGCCAUCGCUCAACGGAUAAAAGGUACUCCGGGGAUAACAGGCUGAUACCGCCCAAGAGUUCAUAUCGACGGCGGUGUUUGGCACCUCGAUGUCGGCUCAUCACAUCCUGGGGCUGAAGUAGGUCCCAAGGGUAUGGCUGUUCGCCAUUUAAAGUGGUACGCGAGCUGGGUUUAGAACGUCGUGAGACAGUUCGGUCCCUAUCUGCCGUGGGCGCUGGAGAAUUGAGGGGGGCUGCUCCUAGUACGAGAGGACCGGAGUGGACGCAUCACUGGUGUUCGGGUUGUCAUGCCAAUGGCACUGCCCGGUAGCUAAAUGCGGAAGAGAUAAGUGCUGAAAGCAUCUAAGCACGAAACUUGCCCCGAGAUGAGUUCUCCCUGACUCCUUGAGAGUCCUGAAGGAACGUUGAAGACGACGACGUUGAUAGGCCGGGUGUGUAAGCGCAGCGAUGCGUUGAGCUAACCGGUACUAAUGAACCGUGAGGCUUAACCUUACAACGCCGAAGGUGUUU